GACGAACGCUGGCGGCGUACUUAACACAUGCAAGUCGAGCGAGGCCAACCUUUCGGGGUGGUGUCCUAGCGGCGAACGGGUGAGUAACACGUGGGCAACCUGCCCCCGGCUCUGGGAUAACCCCAAGAAAUUGGGGCUAAUACCGGAUAUGACCGCUGACCGCAUGGUCUGGUGGUGGAAAGAUUUAUCGGCUGGGGGUGGGCCCGCGGCCUAUCAGCUUGUUGGUGGGGUAGUGGCCUACCAAGGCGACGACGGGUAGCCGGCCUGAGAGGGUGACCGGCCACACUGGGACUGAGACACGGCCCAGACUCCUACGGGAGGCAGCAGUGGGGAAUAUUGCGCAAUGGGCGGAAGCCUGACGCAGCGACGCCGCGUGGGGGAUGACGGCCUUCGGGUUGUAAACCACUUUCAGCAGGGACGAAGCCGUGAGGUGACGGUACCUGCAGAAGAAGCACCGGCCAACUACGUGCCAGCAGCCGCGGUAAGAC
rnacentral:rRNA from 1 species